rnacentral:RNase_P_RNA from 1 species
UCGGGCAUAUCGUCGCUGCGUGGCUGGAAUCGGCCAUGGAGAGGAAAGUCCGGGCUCCUUGAGGAAGGAUGAUCGCUAACGGCGACCGAAGGUGACUUCCGGGAAAGUGCCACAGAAAACAAACCACCGUGUUCGCACGGCAAGGGUGAAACGGCGGGGUAAGAGCCCACCGGUCGCGCGGUGACGCACGACGCAUGGUAAACCCCAUCCGGAGCAAGAUCGAACAAAAGGCGCUACGCAAGUAGCCGGUACUCCUCAGCCGCGUCCUUUGGGUAAUGAUCGCUUGAGGUGCAGAGCAAUUUGCAUCCUAGAUGAAUGACGAUACCGACGUGCCCCCACGCUCGUCGCGACAAAACCCGGCUUACCGCCCAACUU